rnacentral:snRNA from 1 species
CUGCUUCAGUAGCACAUAUACAAAAGUUGGAACAAUAGAGAGAUUAGCAUGGCCUCUGUGCAAGAAUGACAUGCAAAUUUGUGAAGCAUUCCGUAUGUUU